rnacentral:rRNA from 1 species
CGUCGUCAGCUUACCCCGUGAAGGACUAACAGUAAGCAAAAUUGGCAUAGCCAAAAACGUCAGGUCGAGGUGUAGCGAAUGAAGUGGGAAGAAAUGGGCUACAUUUUCUAUUUACAGAAUAAACGAAUGACACCCUGAAAACAUGUCUGAAGGUGGAUUUAGUAGUAAAAAGCAAAUAGUGUAUCCUUUUGAAUUAGGCUCUGAGACGCGCACACACCGCCCGUCACUCUCCCCCCAUAAACACCAAACAAUUAAUUCUUAAUAUCCCAGCCAUCUAUAUCGGGGAGGCAAGUCGUAACAUGG